GUUUUCUACUCCACUGACUAGGGAGUUAUACCAAUACAAACUAACAGAUGGUUUCUCAAGUAUUUAUUUACGAUUCCUUUUGUUUGUAUUUGGAAGCUUUGCAACAUGCAAGGCCCCAACUGGUGAAGUAACUCUGGAGUCAAAGCUGGAGUCAGUGAUCUGGCUCUAGAGAAGAGAGUGAUGGAGAGAGGUUUUGGACUUUGUUUAACUAAAAACACUGCAACAUUUGGCGACUGAGUCGGUCCGAAAAGGGAAGCUACAGAGCGAAAAUGACUUUAUCAGUAUUCUUGCCCCUGAGGGACGUUGACCUGAGGAAAUGGCAGACGUUCCUGGAUAAGCCGAGCCGGACUCUCCAGGGAAACAUAUAUCUUUUCCACAUAUUGUCUGUCUACAUGGAUGGAAUAUCAGCAUGGACAUAUUAUAUUUCAAUCUAUUCUAGUUUAUAAAAUAUUUAUUUAAUUUGGGGGCAUUUUGCUGCUUUAUUGAUUGAACAGAGACAAUGAGAAAGACAGAGGAGUCUGCUGAAUAUAUCAGUGGGGCUGAAUCUAACCCAUCCAUCAACGGUAUUGUACUGGAUGGAUCUUUCUUUUAACACUAGACAUAACAGUGGCUUAUAAAACUAGACAUGACAUUGGCAUAUGACACCAGACAUAACAGUGGCUUAUAAAUCUAGACAUGACAUUGGCUUAUGACACUAGACAUAACAAUGGCUUAUAAAACUAGACAUGACAUUGGCUUUUGACCCUAGACAUAACAGUGGCUUAUAACACUAGACAUAACAUUGACAUAUAACACUCAACAGUGUCAUAUAACCUUGGACAACCUUAGUCCCCGCACGGCACCAGGCUUAUAACAGUAGACUAACAUUGGUCAAAAACACUGGACACAACCAGCGUCAUAUUACACAAGACAACCCCAAUGCCUGCACAUCACUUGGCUUAUAACACAAGACAACCCCAAUGCCUGCACAUCACCUGGCUUAUAACACAAGACAACCCCAAUGCCUGCACAUCACUUGGCUUAUAACACUAGACAACCCCAAUGCCUGCACAUCACUUGGCUUAUAACACUAGACAACCCCAAUGCCUGCACAUCACCUGGCUUAUAACACAAGACAACCCCAAUGCCUGCACAUCACCUGGCUUAUAACACAAGACAACCCCAAUGCCUGCACAUCACCUGGCUUAUAACACUAGACAACCCUAGGCCCACCUUUAACUUCUAAUUACAAUAUCUUCACGCCCAUAAUGUCUUAAUGGUGGCACAAAGAGCAAGAACCCAGUAAAAGGCGCUGCCAGGAGCGUGUAAGAAAGUAGACCAGUUAAAAGUCCUCUUUAUACAGAGUUACGGAGGAUUAAAAAGAAUGGGUGACAGAGGGGAGGAAGCCAGCAGCAGGCGAGACCGACCAACACAGUCCAGAACCUCAGAUGCGGGGUUCCAUAAAUCAAGUUCUAUAAGUUCCUCACCAAAGUACGCUGAGGGUAAUUGUAAAUGAUUGACUGAAAAUGUUACCAUGCCAAUGAAGUUAACAUAACCAUACCAAAUAUGUUUCAAUAAAUCUUUGUAGGGG
ensembl:lncRNA